CCUAAUUGUUACACACUGUUCCUUUAAAACAUGGCAAAUUUCUCUCUCUAUGAUCACACUGUGAGGAAAAAGGUGUCGUGCCUGUUUGCUGAGGAACACGGCGUCCAGGGGCCCUUGGCUGCACUGGGCCUGAUUGUGGGGAACUGUGUGAAAUCCAAACUGACUGAUCCAGGACAGAGCCAGGAUUACACCACUUCCCCCCUUGAAUUCUGUCCUUCCCAACAAUGGGCUUCCUGUAACCACAGUCAAGUGAGCCGUUAGUUAGCCAGUGGAGCCGCAGAGUGGUGGUUCAGGGCCACUGUGGGAAAAGGCAGGGGACUCCAGCAUCAUGUUACUAUUCCUUCAACAUAAAGCCCCGAAAGCCCCCGCCAUCAGCAUCACCGCCGACCGCUUUGCUCCCAGUGCCUUCAGGAGGUGUCAGGUUCUGGCACCUGCUGGAGGCCCUGGCAGGUUCAUGCCCCUGGCAGGUUCAGAUGUCACUCCAGCAAAGGGACUGUCAGUGUCUCAGUGGUCAACAGGGGUGACUUGCAGUAGUUUAUUUCGGCCAUUGAAGGCACUACCCUCAACUGGAAAAAAUGUUGUAAACUUAACAUGAAAAAACAAGGAAAAAAAAACUUGUGCUCUGUGAAAGCCCAGAGGAGCCUUCAAAUGUUUCCCCAAGUGCAACCUGAUCCAUAACAGACAGAGUCAUGCAGCUCCCUGCGCUAUCAACACUCCAUGCACAGCAGGGCCGCUCUAAUACCCCAUUCCAACAUGGCAGCCAGGAAGCACUUGAAAAAGCACACAGCCAAGCAGUUGAAGACCAUGCUACACAUCUGCUGAAUGUAGCAAUGCAUCACCACCUGUUGAACUACAGCUACAAUUACACUGAAUAUUAAAUGUAAACUUCUAGCACUA